rnacentral:rRNA from 1 species
AUUGAACGCUGGCGGCAUGCUUUACACAUGCAAGUCGAACGGUAACAGCACUUCUGUGGCUGACGAGUGGCGCACGGGUGAGUAAUACAUCGGAACGUGCCUCGUAGUGGGGGAUAACUACUCGGAAGAGUAGCUAAUACCGCAUGAGAUCUAAGGAUGAAAGCAGGGGACCUUCGGGCCUUGCGCUACUAGAGCGGCUGAUGGCAGAUUAGGUAGUUGGUGGGAUAAAAGCUUACCAAGCCGACGAUCUGUAGCUGGUCUGAGAGGACGACCAGCCACACUGGAACUGAGACACGGCCCAGACUCCUACGGGAGGCAGCAGUGGGGAAUUUUGGACAAUGGGCGAAAGCCUGAUCCAGCAAUGCCGCGUGCAGGAUGAAGGCCUUCGGGUUGUAAACUGCUUUUGUACGGAACGAAAAGCACUAUGCUAAUACAGGAGGGUCAUGACGGUACCGUAAGAAUAAGCACCGGCUAACUACGUG